rnacentral:rRNA from 1 species
CCUACGGGUGGCAGCAGUGGGGAAUAUUGCACAAUGGGGGAAACUCUGAUGCAGCGACGCCGCGUGAGGGAAGAAGUAAUUCGUGAUGUAAAGCUCUUUCAGUAGGGAAGAAAAUGACGGUACCUGAGUAAGAUGCCCCGGCUAACUAUGUGCCAGCAGCCGCGGUAAUACGUAGGGGGCCAGCGUUAUCCGGAUUUACUGGGUGUUAAGCGAGCGUAGACGGCAGUGCAAGUUCGGAGUGAAAUGCCGGGGCUCAACCCCGGGACUGCAGUGCAAACUGUUCUGCUUGAGUGCGGUGGAGGUAAGCGGAAUGCCUGGUGUAGCGGUGAAAUGCGUAGAUAUUAGGAGGAACACCAAUGGCGAAGGCAGCUUACUGGACUGUAACUGACGUUGAGGCUCGAAGGUGUGGGGAGCGAACAGGAUUAGAUACCCUGGUAGUC